rnacentral:rRNA from 1 species
GACGAACGCUGGCGGCGUGCUUAACACAUGCAAGUCGAACGGAGUGGCGAACGGGUGAGUAACACGUGGGUGACCUGCCCUGCACUUCGGGAUAAGCCUGGGAAACUGGGUCUAAUACCGGAUAGUGUGGGAUGGGUCCGGGGCCUAUCAGCUUGUUGGUGGGGUAAUGGCCUACCAAGGGGGCGACUGGUAGCCGGCCUGGGAGGGUGGACGGCCACAUGAGGACUUAGGCAGGGACCAGACUCGUACGGGAGGCAGCGGUUGGGAAUAUUGCACAAUGGGGGGACGCGUGAGGCAGCGACGCCGGGUGGGGGAUGACGGCCUUCUGGUUGUAAACUCCUUUCACCGUCGACGCGGUAGAUGGAGAAGAAGCACCGGCUAACUACGUGCCAGCAGCCGCGGUAAUAC